UUCUUCCCACCCUUUUCCCACCUCACAAUCUUCCCACCAUUUUCCCACCCCUCACACCCUUCCUGCCCUUUUCCCACUCCUCACAGUGUUCCUGCCCUUUUCCCACCCCUCAAACCCUUCCCACCAUUUUCCUACCCUUCAUGAUCUUCCCUCCAUUUUCCCACCCCUCACCAUCUUCCCGCCCUUUUCCCACCUCUCAUGAUCUUCCCACCAUUUUCCCACUCCUCACACCCUUCCCACCAUUUUCCCACCCUUCAUGAUCUUACCACCAUUUUCCCACCCCUCACCAUCUUCCUGCUCUUUUCCCAUCCCUCAUGAACCUCCCGCCUGCCGAGCCCAAACCUGAGAGAAAAAAAUCAGGAGAAAAUGGGAAAAAAAAGGAAAAAAAAAGGCUUUGGAAAUUUAUUUUUUGGAUAAAAUCUCAACUGAAAAGGGCAGACUCUGAGAACAGCACCAGAACGGCACAAACCCCCUCAAAUUCCCAUGGGGAAAUCCCGCGGUUUGGCUGUUUUGUGGUCAGUUUGGGGUUUGUCAUUUUAUUUUUGUACUUUUCCAUCAGAAAAAGUGAAGCCAUGGAAUUUCCCGAUAUGAAAUCCCUUGGAAUGACACCAAUGGAAGGUCCGGCCUGCGAGCAACGUCCAGCGAGAAGUUUGGUUCUUGGUGUAAAAUCCAAGUUUUUUCCUUAAAAAAAUGGCAUUUUCUGAGGCGAAAUGAAGUUAUAAAUAAUCCCGAGUCGGCGCUGAGAGGUAGAGGUGUCGCUGCCAUCACAAUCUAUUGGCUUGUUCUGAGGUAAUUAAUUCAUUGCGAGUCAAUCAUUCUAUCGCCCUGUCAUUAAUUAACGUUAAUUGACCUCUCUCCUCUCAAAAAGGUCCUUUUAAUUAAGAAAUCUUUAAUUGGAGGCGUCGCUGCCCGGGUCGGCGGCGG